UACGUAGGGUGCAAGCGUUAAUCGGAAUUACUGGGCGUAAAGCGUGCGCAGGCGGUUAUGUAAGGCAGAUGGGAAAUCCCCGGGCUCAACCUGGGAACUGCAUUUGUGACUGCAUAGCUAGAGUACGGUAGAGGGGGAUGGAAUUCCGCGUGUAGCAGUGAAAUGCGUAGAUAUGCGGAGGAACACCGAUGGCGAAGGCAAUCCCCUGGACCUGUACUGACGCUCAUGCACGAAAGCGUGGGGAGCAAACAGG
rnacentral:rRNA from 1 species